UAGUAUUUUGACUAUACAAAGGUAUUGUAAUAAGACUUUAAUUGAGUGCUAAAAGAAUGGAAUUACAAAAAAAGGCUUUUUUAAUUUUAAAAAUUAAAAUUAUUUUUUUUUGUGAAGAAACAAAAAUUUAAAUUAAAGACAAGAAGACCCUAAGAAUUUUUUUUUUUAUUAAAAUAAUAUUUUAUUUUAAAAAUUUAAUUGGGGCGAUUAAUGAAUAUUAAAAACUUUAUAAAGAAAUAAAAUGAUCCAUUAUUAAUGAUUAUUUGAUUAAAAUACUCUAGGGAUAACAGCGUAAUAAUUUUUGAUAGUUCUUAUAGAAAAAAUAGUUUGCGACCUCGAUGUUGGAUUAGGAUUCUUUUUUAAUGAAGAAGUUAAAAAAAGAAGUUUGUUCAACUUUUAAUUUCCU
rnacentral:rRNA from 1 species